GCGGGCAUAGUUUAGCGGUAAAACACCAUCCUUCCAAGUUGGGGUCGUCGGUUCGAUUCCGUCUGCCCGCA
rnacentral:tRNA from 1 species